GACGUAGGGCGCAAGCGUUGUCCGGAUUUAUUGGGCGUAAAGAGCUCGUAGGCGGUUCAUUGCGUCAAUCGUGAAAUCCUGUGGCUCAACUACAGGCUUGCGGUUGAUACGGGUGGGCUGGAGUUCGGUAGGGGAGACUGGAAUUCCUGGUGUAGCGGUGAAAUGCGCAGAUAUCAGGAGGAACACCGGUGGCGAAAGCGCCUUGCUGGGUCUGCACUGACACUGAGGGACGAAAGCUAGGGGAGCGAAAGGG
rnacentral:rRNA from 1 species